AGUAUUAAGUAUUGGAUAUUGCUGUCUUCAGUGUGAAGGUGAUCAGCUAUACUGAAAACUUUGAAUGGGUUUUGUCAUGAGAAGCAACUAAUGCUGCCAUUUUGCCCAAAGAACAAUGACGUUUACAUGCAUCUAUGCAAUCUAAAUGGGAAAAGCUGCAUGUUCUUCAGAAGGAGUGUCGAGAGCAAAAUAUUUAUCUCAGAUAUACUGCAUGUAUAUCAACAAUGGAACUUGGAGCAUUGACUUCAUGGAGCCUUGCUUGUUUACAGAAGGUCAUUGAACCAAAGGUGAUACAUCGAGACAUUAAGCAAAGGUUUCUUCUUGGCCACUAAGCACUUUGUAGUACCUUUCAAAUUUUCUACGAUCAGCCAUCCCAAGAUAUAUUCUAUAUGGCUGAUACUGAUAAGGAAAUUGUUUUCUUCCAUAUACACAUUGGUACUGACAUUACAGAUGAGAAAGAGCAGUUACUGAUAUUGGUUUGCCAAAUCAAGUUUGAUAAGGAAAUUGAAUUCAAGAGGGAGUUGCCACCAGGUGAGAUAAUGGUAAUGCCGCUGGAUGCCACUGUUGGACAGCUAAAACAGUUAGCUGAGUGUCCUGAGGGAUACAUAUCAAAGGGUUGGAGGGAUCAGAUGAUAUGGAAGUAGUUUCUGGAGCAGUUUAAUCGAUAACAGUUUGCGUAUGAUAUGUACGAUAUUUUAUCAGUUUAAUUAAGAAUGAAGUUAUUUUCAA